rnacentral:lncRNA from 1 species
AAUUGUCAGGCAAUAAACUUUUUUUUAAAGUUGCAAUCGUAUUAAUACAUAAUCAUGUGUCACUUCUUCCUUGUUGAUGUUAUACUAAAGAUAUUUUAUCAUUCUUUUAUUUAACAGAUAUAUUGGAGUCCUCCUAUUACAUAAAAAGUAACUAAACCUUACUUAAACUUCUAAAUUUAGUGUCAUGGACUUGUCAUUAAAAGGGUGACUAUG